AUCCUCUUGAUCCCCAAAGCAUAAACGCAUGUACCGAGAGGCAAAGCUCACAACGUAAUUUUUUCAGUCUUAUCCUGACUAAUUGACAGCCAACUGUAUGCCUCUUUCCUGAAGGUGACUUGCCAAUCUCCAGACACAGACAUUUCUCCCAGAGGCAGAGUGAAGGAGGGGGAACCACAAGCUAAAGUGUGUUUCACUGGGUGCACUAUUUUGGGGGGAAGAUAAGAAUGGGGAAAUAAGGGAACGGAGGAGUGUGCACAAAGAUUAAGGGUGCCUGUUUGGGGCUUGGGAAUAGGAGCUGUGAAUGAAGGAAGCGAAUCUCUGGAGGGAAAGAGCCUUCUUUGUAAAAGAAAAUGAAAUGAGCAUUCACUCUGAAAUGGCUGGGAAUGUGACUUUCUAAUUUUAAAUUAUCUUUAACAAGGGCAAUGAAAAGAGGAAAAGUUGACACUUUGAGAAGUUAUGACGAACUUGUCGAGAAUGCCAAUUGACGAAGGCAGGUUCUUCCACAGCAGAAAGAUAGACACGUACUUUUAUGCCUGAUGCCAGAAGCUGACCCCUAGAGCAGCAGCAGGAUCUGAGAAGGCGGCACCGAAUGUGGCUGCGCCCGGUGGGACAUGAUGGCAUCUCCAGGGUGGUCUUGAAGACUUAGCUGGAUCAUCUCCAGUUCGGAUUGCUGCCUCUGAGACCCCCUCUCCAUGUUCCCCUGCAGUGGUCAUCUGGAAGGGAUUUUACUGGUGGUCUCCAUCUCUCGCCUGCCCUUACUCCAGGAUUUUGCUUCUGUGGUAUUGUCAAUACCACCACCUGGUAAUGUGGAACCUCUGGAAGACCUUGUCCAAAGAGUUGAGCUUUUAUGUAGUUCAAAAUGUGUUUACCUUUCACAUCUAUGUAUGUAUCAGCUCUGAUGCUAGCACUGAUGGCCAGAAAAUUUAAAGAAAAUUUGUUUCACAAACAAUUGUGUGCCCCCUGCAUCUCAGAUCCACAAUGUGGAUUUUAAACUCUAUGAGCAUUUGAGAGAGUGCAGAGCAUCACACUGCCUGGCAUCUGGAUUAAGAAUAUGUUUAGUGGGGAAAUUUUAUUGCAAACCUCAGUAAGAAACUAUCGAUAUCAUAUUGUGCCUAAUAAAAUG